UUGCGAAACACAACUUUCAGAAUUCCUGUUUUGCUAUUCAGACAAUACAGAACGUGUGAGGCAGCCAGAAGAAUCCAGUCAUGUGACACUAUGAUGGUUACUUUCUGAGCCUCUGGGGGCUUUGGCUUCUUUGGGGGCUUUUCACCCAUUUCCCUACGGGGCUUGAGGACUCCUGAAAGGCAGCUGCGGGCAGAACGCACCGGACCAAAGACCGGGUGUGAACAGGGUGCCACACCAGCUCCCUGGGCUCUCCGGUCUACUGUUGGACUCCCCUACCAGAGUGCACACUCCCAGAGCACAAGCACCACCCUGCUCUGUGGCCUCCGUACCCAGCACAGAGCCGGGGCCUGAUAAA